rnacentral:rRNA from 1 species
CUCGUAGGCGGUUCGGCAAGUCGGAUGUGAAAUCUCCACGCUCAACGUGGAGGGGCCAUUCGAAACUGCCGUGACUUGAGUCCGGUAGGGGAGUGCGGAAUUCCCGGUGUAGCGGUGAAAUGCAUAGAUAUCAGGAGGAAUACAGGUGGCGAAAGCGACUCUCUGGACGGCAACUGACGCUGAGGCACGAAAGCGUGGGGAGCAAACA